rnacentral:rRNA from 1 species
UACUCAAGAAAAGGAUUUAAGUCCAGCCUAAAAUCUUUUUAGUUCUUCAAAACAUAACUUUGAUUUUAAAGUAAUUCAAAUAAGGUACAGCCUAUUUGAAAAAGGAUACAACCUAAGCUAAUGGGUAAUAAUAUGACUUUAUAACCAAGUUGGCCUAAAAGCAGCCACCUUUUGAAUAGCGUCAAAGCUUUAUUAUGUUAUACACAUAAUUCCUUUUAAAUUUUAUACCCCUUUAAUUUUAUUGAGUAAUUCUAUAAUUUUAUAGAAAAUAUAAUGUUAAAACUAGUAACAAGAAGACGACCUUCUCUUUAAUGCAAGCAUAAAUCAGAAAAACCUUUCACUGAUAAUUAACCCGCAUGAAAUUAUAUUAGCAACCUCGCAAGAAAACCCUAAUAAAUUCUGAGUUAAUCUAACACAAGAGCAUUACAAGAAAGAUUAAAAGAAAUAAGAAGGAACUCGGCAAACAUUAACCUCGCCUGUUUACCAAAAACAUCGCCUCUUGAAUUUCUAUAAGAGGUCCAGCCUGCCCAGUGACUUUGUUCAACGGCCGCGGUAUCCUAACCGUGCGAAGGUAGCGUAAUCACUUGUCUUUUAAAUGGGGACUUGUAUGAAUGGCAUCACGAGGGUUAUACUGUCUCCUUUUUCCAAUCAGUGAAACUAAUCUUCCCGUGAAGAAGCGGGAAUAAUUUUAUAAGACGAAAAGACCCUAUGGAGCUUUAAAUUUAAUAACAAUUACUAAGCCAUUUUAACUUCCAGAACAUCAAUUUCAACUUUAGCAUUAUGAUUAUUAGUUUUAGGUUGGGGUGACCGCGGAGUAAAAAUUAACCUCCACAUUGAACAGGACCUUUUCUUGAGCCAAGAGCUACAACCCUAAGCACCAAUAAAUUGACAUUAAUUGACCCAAUAUUUUGAUCAACGAACCAAGUUACCCUAGGGAUAACAGCGCAAUCCACUUCAAGAGCCCCUAUCGACAAGUGGGUUUACGACCUCGAUGUUGGAUCAGGGUUUCCCAGUGGUGCAGCCGCUACUAAAGGUUCGUUUGUUCAACGAUUAAAACC